rnacentral:misc_RNA from 1 species
UGGCUCUGGCAUCGAUGAAGAACGCAGCGAAAUGCGAUAAGUAUUGUGAAUUGCAGAAUCCAGUGAAUCAUCGAAUCUUUGAACGCACAUUGCGCCCGCCGGCAAUCCGGCGGGCAUGCCUGUUCGAGCGUCAUUUCGACCCUCAGUUCCCCGGAACUGGUGUUGGGGCGUCCGCUUCACCGCGGAGGCCCUCAAAUCCAUAGGCGGUCCCUCCGGGCCCCGAGCGUAGUAAUUUAUUGUUCGUUCGGUGGUUCCGGCGGCGGCUUGCCCCUAAACACCCCACAUCAAGGUUGACCUCGGAUCAGGUAGGAAUACCCGCUGA